rnacentral:rRNA from 1 species
GACGAACGCUGGCGGCGUGCUUAACGCAUGCAAGUCGAACGGUAAGGCCCUUCGGGGUACACGAGUGGCGAACGGGUGAGUAACACGUGGGUGAUCUGCCCUGCACUUCGGGAUAAGCCUGGGAAACUGGGUCUAAUACCGGAUAGGACCACUGCCUGCAUGGGUGGUGGUGGAAAGCUUUUGCGGUGUGGGAUGGGCCCGCGGCCUAUCAGCUUGUUGGUGGGGUGAUGGCCUACCAAGGCGACGACGGGUAGCCGGCCUGAGAGGGUGACCGGCCACACUGGGACGGAGAUACGGCCCAGACUCCUACGGGAGGCAGCAGUGGGGAAUAUUGCACAAUGGGCGCAAGCCUGAUGCAGCGACGCCGCGUGAGGGAUGACGGCCUUCGGGUUGUAAACCUCUUUCAGCACCGACGAAGCGCAAGUGACGGUAGGUGCAGAAGAAGGACCGGCCAACUACGUGCCAGCAGCCGCCGUAA